AUACUUACCUAGGCAGGGGAGAUAUUAUGACCAUGAAGGUGAUUUUCCCAGGGUGAGGCUUAUCCACUGCACUCCUAAUAUGCUGAUCCCUGAGAUUUACCCAAGUGUAGAUAACUUGACUGCAUAAUUUGUUGUAGUGGAGGACUGUGUUUGCACUCUCCCUGA
rnacentral:snRNA from 1 species